rnacentral:rRNA from 1 species
ACGGAAGGCAGCAGUGGGGAAUAUUGCACAAUGGGCGAAAGCCUGAUGCAGCGACGCCGCGUGAGCGAAGAAGUAUUUCGGUAUGUAAAGCUCUAUCAGCAGGGAAGAUAAUGACGGUACCUGACUAAGAAGCACCGGCUAAAUACGUGCCAGCAGCCGCGGUAAUACGCAUGGUGCAAGCGUUAUCCGGAUUUACUGGGUGUAAAGGGAGCGUAGGCGGUUUUACAAGUCUGAUGUGAAAGCCCGGGGCUCAACUCCGGUAUUGCAUUGGAAACUGUAGAACUAGAGUGUCGGAGGGGUAAGUGGAAUUCCUAGUGUAGCGGUGAAAUGCGUAGAUAUUAGGAGGAACACCAGUGGCGAAGGCGGCUUACUGGACGAUUACUGACGCUGAGGCUCGAAAGCGUGGGGAGCAAACAGGAUUAGAUACCCUGGUA